CCCUUAGAUGUUCUGGGCCGCACGCGCGCUACACUGAAUGGAUCAACGUGUUUUCCCUUCCCGAGAGGGACGGGUAACCCGCUGAACCCCAUUCGUGGUAGGGAUCGGAGCUUGCAAUUGUUCUCCGUGAACCAGGAAUUCCCAGUAAGCGCAAGUCAUAAGCUUGCGUUGAUUACGUCCCUGCCCUUUGUACACACCGCCCGUCGCACCUACCGAUUGAAUGGUCCGGUGAAAUCUUCGGAUCUGAGAGAUGUCUGAUUAAUUUCGGACGCCUUUUGGAAAAGUUGUUUAAACCUUACCAUUUAGAGGAAGGUGAAGUCGUAACA
rnacentral:rRNA from 1 species